CCUGCAACGGAUUCCAUGCAGCUCGACCAUUCUCUGACAAGUCACGACAAGAGCCAUCCUCCUGCUCCACUCCCUGCAAUGGAUUCCAUGCAGCUCCACCACUCUAUGGCAAGUCCCGACUACGGACACCACUCCACUCUCCGCAACAAGCUCCACGUGGCCCUGAACGACCCCUGACGUCACUACUCUCCGUAACAAACUCCAUGCGGCUCUGAGCGAUCCACUUCCAGACGGUUACAGACGUCACUGUCAGUUAGUUACCCCC
rnacentral:lncRNA from 1 species